CCUACGGGCGGCUGCAGUAAGGAAUAUUGGUCAAUGGACGCAAGUCUGAACCAGCCAUGCCGCGUGGAGGAUGAAGGUCCUCUGGAUUGUAAACUUCUUUUAUUUGGGAAGAAACUCCCGAUUUCCAUCGGGAUUGACGGUACCAGAUGAAUAAGCACCGGCUAACUCCGUGCCAGCAGGCGCGGUAAUACGGAGGGUGCAGGCGUUACCGGGAUUAAAGGGUGUGAAGGUGUGCAGGGAAGGGCGUGUUGAAAUCUCCGGGCUUAACCCGGAAACUGACAUUGAUACUAUUUGUCUUGAAUACUCUGGAGGUGAGCGGAAUAUGUCAUGUAGCGGUGAAAUGCGUAGAUAUGACAUAGAACACCCAUUGCGAAGGCAGCUCACUACGGAAAUAUUGACGCUGAGGCACGAAAGCGUGGGGAUCAAACAGGAUUAGAUACCCCAGUAGUC
rnacentral:rRNA from 1 species